UACGUAGGGUGCAAGCGUUAAUCGGAAUCACUAGGCGUAAAGCGCAGGUAGGCGGUUUGGUAAGUCUUUUGUGAAAGCUCCCGGCUCAACUGGGGGAGGUCAAGGGAAACUACCGGACUAGAGUGUGGUAGGGGAUACUGGAAUUCCUGGUGUAGCGGUGAAAUGCGUAGAUAUCAGGAGGAAUACCUAUGGCGAAAGCAGGUAUCUGGGCCAUCACUGACGCUGAGCUGCGAAAGCUAGGGGAGCAAACAGG
rnacentral:rRNA from 1 species